rnacentral:rRNA from 1 species
UUAAGCGACUAAGCGUACACGGUGGAUGCCCUGGCAGUCAGAGGCGAUGAAGGACGUGCUAAUCUGCGAUAAGCGUCGGUAAGGUGAUAUGAACCGUUAUAACCGGCGAUUUCCGAAUGGGGAAACCCAGUGUGAUUCGUCACACUAUCAUUAACUGAAUCCAUAGGUUAAUGAGGCGAACCGGGGGAACUGAAACAUCUAAGUACCCCGAGGAAAAGAAAUCAACCGAGAUUCCCCCAGUAGCGGCGAGCGAACGGGGAGCAGCCCAGAGCCUGAAUCAGUGUGUGUGUUAGUGGAAGCGUCUGGAAAGGCGCGCGAUACAGGGUGACAGCCCCGUACACAAAAAUGCACAUACUGUGAGCUCGAUGAGUAGGGCGGGACACGUGGUAUCCUGUCUGAAUAUGGGGGGACCAUCCUCCAAGGCUAAAUACUCCUGACUGACCGAUAGUGAACCAGUACCGUGAGGGAAAGGCGAAAAGAACCCCGGCGAGGGGAGUGAAAAAGAACCUGAAACCGUGUACGUACAAGCAGUGGGAGCACGCUUAGGCGUGUGACUGCGUACCUUUUGUAUAAUGGGUCAGCGACUUAUAUUCUGUAGCAAGGUUAACCGAAUAGGGGAGCCGAAGGGAAACCGAGUCUUAACUGGGCGUUAAGUUGCAGGGUAUAGACCCGAAACCCGGUGAUCUAGCCAUGGGCAGGUUGAAGGUUGGGUAACACUAACUGGAGGACCGAACCGACUAAUGUUGAAAAAUUAGCGGAUGACUUGUGGCUGGGGGUGAAAGGCCAAUCAAACCGGGAGAUAGCUGGUUCUCCCCGAAAGCUAUUUAGGUAGCGCCUCGUGAAUUCAUCUCCGGGGGUAGAGCACUGUUUCGGCAAGGGGGUCAUCCCGACUUACCAACCCGAUGCAAACUGCGAAUACCGGAGAAUGUUAUCACGGGAGACACACGGCGGGUGCUAACGUCCGUCGUGAAGAGGGAAACAACCCAGACCGCCAGCUAAGGUCCCAAAGUCAUGGUUAAGUGGGAAACGAUGUGGGAAGGCCCAGACAGCCAGGAUGUUGGCUUAGAAGCAGCCAUCAUUUAAAGAAAGCGUAAUAGCUCACUGGUCGAGUCGGCCUGCGCGGAAGAUGUAACGGGGCUAAACCAUGCACCGAAGCUGCGGCAGCGACGCUUAUGCGUUGUUGGGUAGGGGAGCGUUCUGUAAGCCUGCGAAGGUGUGCUGUGAGGCAUGCUGGAGGUAUCAGAAGUGCGAAUGCUGACAUAAGUAACGAUAAAGCGGGUGAAAAGCCCGCUCGCCGGAAGACCAAGGGUUCCUGUCCAACGUUAAUCGGGGCAGGGUGAGUCGACCCCUAAGGCGAGGCCGAAAGGCGUAGUCGAUGGGAAACAGGUUAAUAUUCCUGUACUUGGUGUUACUGCGAAGGGGGGACGGAGAAGGCUAUGUUGGCCGGGCGACGGUUGUCCCGGUUUAAGCGUGUAGGCUGGUUUUCCAGGCAAAUCCGGAAAAUCAAGGCUGAGGCGUGAUGACGAGGCACUACGGUGCUGAAGCAACAAAUGCCCUGCUUCCAGGAAAAGCCUCUAAGCAUCAGGUAACAUCAAAUCGUACCCCAAACCGACACAGGUGGUCAGGUAGAGAAUACCAAGGCGCUUGAGAGAACUCGGGUGAAGGAACUAGGCAAAAUGGUGCCGUAACUUCGGGAGAAGGCACGCUGAUAUGUAGGUGAAGUCCCUCGCGGAUGGAGCUGAAAUCAGUCGAAGAUACCAGCUGGCUGCAACUGUUUAUUAAAAACACAGCACUGUGCAAACACGAAAGUGGACGUAUACGGUGUGACGCCUGCCCGGUGCCGGAAGGUUAAUUGAUGGGGUUAGCGCAAGCGAAGCUCUUGAUCGAAGCCCCGGUAAACGGCGGCCGUAACUAUAACGGUCCUAAGGUAGCGAAAUUCCUUGUCGGGU